CCCUUAGAUGUUCGGGGCCGCACGCGCGCUACACUGAAGGACUCAGCGUGUCUCUCCCCCUAUCCCGAAAGGGAUGGGCAACCCGUUGAACCUCCUUCGUGCUAGGGAUUGGGGUUUGCAAUUAUCCCCCAUGAACGAGGAAUUCCCAGUAAGCGCGAGUCAUCAGCUCGCGUUGAUUACGUCCCUGCCCUUUGUACACACCGCCCGUCGCUCCUACCGAUUGAAUGGUCCGGUGAAGCGUUCGGACCGUGGCCUUUGGACGGUUCGCCGUCUGUUGGCUGCGGGAAGUUCGUUAAACCUUAUCAUUUAGAGGAAGGAGAAGUCGUAACA
rnacentral:rRNA from 1 species